CCCUGUUGAACAUCAAACUUGGUGUCAAAUAUUUAUAAACAUUUUAAGUUACAGUUCACUGUAAAAUCAUACAAUCAUGCAUACAUGCACAGCUUUUAUACAAAAGGCUUAUAAAUAUUUGUGGUUUGACCCAAGUGACCUUUAAAUGAGAAUGUAUUUAGCGCUUAGUACAUAUUUAUAAAGGGUCUAGUGUUCAGUAGUACAUAUUAAUACUAGAGGGGAAAAAGAUUUUCUUUAAAGUGUCAAUAGGUUAAAGGUUAUGAUGAAACAAACAUAUCUCCCAUGUUUAAUCCUUUAGAAUAUAGUGUAUAGAUUUAGGCUUUUCACAGUUAAUUGUAACUUUAAAAGACAAUUCAAAAUGUAAAUUAUAUAUAUUAAGAAUAUGGAAAUUAGAAAGAAGAAGCACAUAUUUUGUAUGUUCAUUGAUCAAAUGUUUAAAAGGGGGAGGGUUGAGAUCUCAAAAUUCUGGAAACUUGUCUGUGGUUGUUAUAAUGUUCCAUAACUUAAAGGUUUCUAUUUUUGUAUUUGAUAAUGAGGCUUUGAGGAAGAUGGAUGUUCGUUUGUCCCAGACGAACUUUGAUACAACUCUUUUAAAUUCAUGGUGAUUUAGAGCUUAACAGAUGACCUUAUCUUGACCUUGACCUCUAGAUGUUUAUGUCUUUGGGUUGCUGUCUCAUUGAUAUAUACCUCACACCCCUCCUUUAGUUUUUAGAUUUUGUGGAAAAUUUGGGACAUUUUAUACAGUAUUUAAUGUAUAAGUAAAUGUAAUAACAAUGAAAUUUCUAUAGUACUAGUACUUAAACUCAAGCAAGAUAUAUAAGUGCCCCUUCUUGUCCUUCAACUAUCGGAAAUGUUUAAUUUUGUCUACAGUAGGGUGUAAUUGAAAGUAAAAACUGGCUGGAUUCCAGAACAAUGAGGCAGAAACUUUCAAAUUAAGGUGGUACCCAACACUUUCACUAAAAUUAAUUUGGCUCGUUUAAUUUUCAUAAAAUUUUGUUAAAGUAUUUACUUUGACACUUUAACAAAAAUAUAAAAAUUAAAAAAAUUUUGAACCAACCGUUUUGUCAGAAAAAUUACACUGGUUAUAUAGCAAUUUGACAACCACCAAUUUUGAUCAUUGAGAAGCUUAAUAUUCCUUUUACAACACAACGUAAUUAAAACGUUUAGCUGACUUUACAGAGUUAUCUCCCUGUAGUGUUAGGUACCACCUUAAGCUGUUUUUCCUGAUUAAAUCGUAAUUUAUCGCCC
rnacentral:lncRNA from 1 species